UUUCUUUAGCACAACGUGAUGUGAUCUGCGCGUGCGCGUGGAGGCGUGUGUUCGUGCAUGUAAACUAGCGGCCUUUUCACUCUGGGUGACCGACGCGUGUGUUUUUCCAUUAAGAAACCCCGACUUCCUAAAGUGUAAACAUAAACAGCAGCCCUGCCCCGACGCGCCCCAACCCCAAGCGGAGCCGUCAUGUGGCAGGAGGCCCGCAAACAUGAACGCAAACUGCGAGGGAUGAUGGUGGACUACAAACGGCGUGGGGAAAGGCGAAGAGAGUACUAUGAAAAAAUUAAAAAGGAUCCAGCCCAGUUCCUGCAAGUUCAUGGCAGAGCCUACAAAAUCCACCUGGAUUCAGCUGUCGCCCUGGCAGCUGAGAGUCCCAUAAACAUGAUGCCUUGGCAAGGAGAUACCAACAACAUGAUUGACAGGUUUGAUGUCAGAGCUCACCUGGACUACAUCCCUACUUAUACGCCUCUACCCAUCCUUAGCACUACCACCCCUGAGCAGGAAUCAGAAGAGCGGAAGUGCAAUUAUGAGCGCUACAGAGGGCUGGUGCAGAACGACUUUGCCUGCAUCUCUGAAGAACAGUGCUUGUACCAGAUCUAUGUGGAUGAACUCUACGGUGGCCUACAGAAGCCAAAUGAGGAUGAAAAGAAAAAACUCGCUGAGAAGAAAGCUCAGAUUGGUUAUACGUAUGAGGACAGCACAGUGACUGAACAAGAUGAACAAUCAAAGAAGGGAACUGAGGAGGAUUCGGAAAACAGCGAGUCUGAGGAAGACGAAAUCAUCCCUGACAUCGAUGUUGAGGUGGACGUAGAUGAACUGAGCCCUGAACAGGUGUUGGAGAUUAACAAGAUGGCCACCACUUACGGCAUGGCAGACGGAGACUUUGUUUGGAUGUUGAGGAAAGACAAGGAGGAAGUGGAGGCCAUUAAACACGCUAAAGCACUGGAGGCAGAGAAGGCCAUGUACUCUGGCCGGCGGUCUCGCAGACAACGAAGAGAGUUCAGAGAGAAGUAUAUGAAAGGCAGGCAGAUCAGCCCACCCAGCUAUGCCAGAAGAGACAGUCCUACAUAUGACCCCUACAAACGGCCAGAGUCGGACUCAAGUUCAGAGUCACGCUCUCGUUCCCGAACUCCAGGCAAUGAUAAGAUCACCUUCAUCACAAGCUUUGGGGGCAGUGAUGAAGAGGGAGCCACUGCCACAGCAGCCCCACCUGCAGCGGCAUCAAGCCACAGCACCUCCAACAGCGCAGGUCAUAGCAGGGGCUCCCGCCGAAGACGGUCUUCUUCCAGUCCUUCAUCAUUUUCCUCUCGCUCCUCAUCACACCGUUCGUCACGCUCAUCCUCACGUUCUCGUCGGAGUCGUCGUUCCCGUGGCGGCAGGGACCGGGACAGCCGCUACUCCAGGUCUCGAUCUCGCUCUCGGCGACGAUCUGACUCACGGUCACGGCAGCGCAGUGGAGGAGUAAGUUCAAGAAGACGAUACGACAGGACGAGGUCUCGUUCUGUGGAUCGGGGGAGAGACAGAAACAGAGAUCGGGACAGGGGGAGGCGCUACACGGGUCGUAGACGAACCAGAUCUCGCUCACGUUCACGAUCAGUUGAUCGUUAUCGGCAGCGAAGUCGCAGUUCUGCAUACAGGAGGGGCGGCAGUAUCAGUCAAAGCCCCUCACGUUCCCCUGCUGCAAGCCGCAGCUCCUCCCCCUCCUCCUAUUCUGCUCUACCUGGCUCUGCUGCUCCAGACAAACUGAGAAAGCCUGAAACUCCGGGUGGUAAAGAGACUGGAGCUGCCAAAGUCACCCAAGAUGACACCUCAAGAAAAACUCAAACUCCGCAUGCAGAAGGCCCUGAACAGGCAAUCCAAGGCGGAUAAGAAGGCGGCACAAGCUAAGAUCCAGCAACAGGAGCACAAGCGACAGGAAAGAGAGGGAGUUCUUCGCGCAAUGGCACGGAAAAUACGCAUGAAGGAACGGGAACGGCGGGAAAAAGAGAGAGAUGAAUGGGAGAGACAGUAUGGACGUCAGAGUCAUUCGCCCUCCCCCAAUGCCAAAUACAGUCGGGACUACGGCUCAUCGAGAAGGAGAUCACGCUCAAGAUCACGGAGUCCUCCUUACCGGUACUGAAGAACCUGCUGAUAAAAGAGACAAUGACACAUCAAACAGAUGGUUUAGGAGUGAUUACAACAGUUUACAUGCAAGUCUGGAGGGAAAUUACAAAUAAAAUGAAUAUCACUCACUGCAGCUUCUCUUACGUCUUCUAAGGAUGCAAUGGAAACCAACUAAAUCCUUUCUUAAAUUGUGAAAAUUAACAACAUCAUGCUAUAGAAACGCAUAUGAACUCUUUAUUACACAGAAAACAUGAAUUGUUGGGAAUGUUUUGAGCUGCUAGGAUUCUUACAAAGCUUUGCAGAUUGUUUUUGGUCGAACUUUGAUAAUUAUGCCGAAGAUUGGGAUGGAUCCUCUUCCCUCUUGUCUUAAAGCCCCAUUAAAGAGUGUUCACACACACAAAAAAAUACAAAUUGUUGCGAUUUUCUCACCCUCAUGUCUUUCCAAACACCUUUGGCUGACUGACUUUCUUGAAAAACAUCAUUCUGACAAACUUUGCUUUCGGUAGAAGUAGGAAAAAAGGUCAGCAAGGCUGAGUAAGUGACAUACUUGUGUUUUCUAGGUAAACCUUUCCAUUUGACCUCAUUGUACAUAAUAUCUUCAUUAAAGAGAGUACAUUUCUUUUAAAGAAAAUGCUAAUUCUAUUUGCUCAUCUUUUUCACUCAGCAAUGUAAAUGUCUGGUGGUUCUUUCUUCUAUUGAAAACAAUCAUCAGUGACCACACAUUUUGACAGAAAUAAAAACCUAAACAUGAAUGAAAAAUGAA